rnacentral:rRNA from 1 species
UCAGUAGGGUGCAAUCGUUAAUCGGAAUUACUGGGCGUAAAGCGCACGCAGGCGGUUGGAUAAGUUAGAUGUGAAAGCCCCGGGCUCAACCUGGGAAUUGCAUUUAAAACUGUCCAGCUAGAGUCUUGUAGAGGGGGGUAGAAUUCCAGGUGUAGCGGUGAAAUGCGUAGAGAUCUGGAGGAAUACCGGUGGCGAAGGUGGCCCCCUGGACAAAGACUGACGCUCAGGUGCGAAAGCGUGGGGAGCAAACAGG